CCUACGGGAGGCAGCAGUGAGGAAUAUUGGUCAAUGGACGAGAGUCUGAACCAGCCAAGUAGCGUGAAGGAUGACUGCCCUAUGGGUUGUAAACUUCUUUUAUAUGGGAAUAAAACGUUCCACGUGUGGGAUUUUGUAUGUACCAUAUGAAUAAGGAUCGGCUAACUCCGUGCCAGCAGCCGCGGUAAUACGGAGGAUCCGAGAGUUAUCCGGAUUUAUUGGGUUUAAAGGGAGCGUAGGUGGAUUGUUAAGUCAGUUGUGAAAGUUUGCGGCUCAACCGUAAAAUUGCAGUUGAAACUGGCAGUCUUGAGUACAGUAGAGGUGGGCGGAAUUCGUGGUGUAGCGGUGAAAUGCUUAGAUAUCACGAAGAACUCCGAUUGCGAAGGCAGUUCACUGGACUGCAACUGACACUGAGGCUCGAAAGUGUGGGUAUCAAACAGGAUUAGAUACCCCGGUAGUC
rnacentral:rRNA from 1 species